GAUGAACGCUGGCGGCGUGCCUAAUACAUGCAAGUCGAGCGAACGGACGCGAAGCUUGCUUCUCUGACGUUAGCGGCGGACGGGUGAGUAACACGUGGAUAACCUACCUAUAAGACUGGGAUAACUUCGGGAAACCGGAGCUAAUACCGGAUAAUAUUUUGAACCGCAUGGUUCAAAAGUGAAAGACGGUCUUGCUGUCACUUAUAGAUGGAUCCGCGCUGCAUUAGCUAGUUGGUAAGGUAACGGCUUACCAAGGCAACGAUGCGUAGCCGACCUGAGAGGGUGAUAGGCCACACUGGAACUGAGACACGGUCCAGACUCCUACGGGAGGCAGCAGUAGGGAAUCUUACGCAAUGGGCGGAAGCCUGACGGAGCAACGCCGAGUGAGUGAUGAAGGUCUUCGGAUCGUAAAACUCUGUUAUUAGGGAAGAACAUAUGUGUAAGUAACUGUGCACAUCUUGACGGUACCUAAUCAGAAAGCCACGGCUAACUACGUG
rnacentral:rRNA from 1 species